rnacentral:lncRNA from 1 species
CAAAGGGAUAAAUCCCCGGACGAGAGAGGAGCAACUCUAUGAUCUUCGCCGGUAAGGUCGAGUGAUCUCUAUAGCAAGCUUGAGUUGCGAGCUGGCGUUUCCUUCCUACAGGUACCACGGGAUAUCUCAUUACGAAGAAAGCGAAGAGAAAAACCACACGAGAUUACCUUGUCCGAGCGAGCUUCUCGUCGAGCAGCACCACAGCAACUAUGGCGAGCCUUGGGCUGGAGGUCGAGACGUCUUUGAGUUCAUCGCAAAGGCCUCGGCUCUCAAGAGACACCACCGGGUGU